GAUGAAGAACGCAGCGAAAUGCGAUAAGUAAUGUGAAUUGCAGAAUUCAGUGAAUCAUCGAAUCUUUGAACGCACAUUGCGCCCCUUGGUAUUCCGGGGGGCAUGCCUGUUCGAGCGUCAUUACAACCCUCAAGCUCAGCUUGGUGUUGGGCCCCGCCGCCCCGGCGGGCCCUAAAGUCAGUGGCGGUGCCGUCCGGCUCCGAGCGUAGUAAUUCUUCUCGCUCUGGAGGUCCGGUCGUGUGCUCGCCAGCAACCCCCAAUUUUUUUCAGGUUGACCUCGGAUCAGGUAGGGAUACCCGCUGAACUUAAGCAUAUCAAUAAGCGGAGGA
rnacentral:misc_RNA from 1 species